GGCUGCCAGGCAGGGAAGGGCCCCCUCUCCAGUCGAUACGUGACCCACGUGACCUUACCUAUCAUUGGAGAUGACUCACACUCUUUACCCUGCCCCUUUUGCUUUGUAUACAAUAAAUAACAGCGAAGCCAGACAUUCGGGGCCUCUACCACUCUCCACGUCUUGCUGUUAGUGGUCCCCGGGCCCAGCUGUCUUUUCUUUUAUCUCUUUGUCUUGUGUCUUUAUUUCUACAAUCUCUCGUCUCUGCACAUGGGGAGAAAAACCCACCAACCCUGUGGGGCUGGUCCCUACAUCUGGCGCUCCAAUGGGGGCUCUCCCUCGCUGUGUGAAGUUGCACUCUGACUGUGGGAUGCAGCGGAGGAGUUCCACGAGAGAUUCCUGAGGACUGCAGUCGAUAAGCUUGGUGGUGUUUUGCUUGUGUUUCCCCAGGAAAAGGACUACAGCCCGUGUGGGUUCCCUCCCGACAAUUAAAAUUGCACCAUAACUCCAAAGAUGAAACGCUCCCGGAAACAAAAGGCAAAGACCCCUCGGAAACCAAAGAGCAACUUUCGCCGCCUGACACAUAAACUUCAUGACCUCCACAUUGAGUCAAAAAUCUCGCCGUGUGACCUACAACACCGCUUGUUCAACUCCACCUACAUGGGGUCAUAUAAAGGUUUUAUCGCAUCAAACAGAAUUUUUUUUUUUUUUUUUUUUUUUUUUAGACGGAGUCUCGCUCUGUCGCCCAGGCUGGAGGGCGGUGGCGCAAUCUCGGCUCACUGCAAGCUCCGCCUCCCGGGUCCACGCCAUUCUCCUGCCUCAGCCUCUCCGAGUUGCUGGGACUACAGGCGCCCGCUGCCUCGCCCGGCUAAUUUUUUGUAUUUUUAGUAGAGACGGGGUUUCACUGUGUUAGCCAGGAUGGUCUCGAUCUCCUGACCUCGUGAUCCGCCCGCCUCGGCCUCCCAAAGUGCUGGGAUUACAAGCGUGAGCCACCGCGCCCGGCCCAGAAAAUUUUUUAAAAGAAAAAGGAAUCCCAAAAACGACCGGUAAUAUAAUUCUGGCUGCCUUUAUGGUAGUCAGUGCAGCGUCUGCAGAUGCCUCCAAGGAGUCCGAAAACAAAUCCGAAGUCAACGACAAGCAAUGAUGGCGAUGGUGAUCCUAGUUAAUAAAAAGAGGGGGAGAUGUGGGCAGCAAGCCACCCAGGUGCCGAGGCAAGAGACCGACGGCACGAGCUGCUCCAGUAUAAAAUAUAUAAAACAUCAAGAGUUAUACCAGAUCUAGAUCAUAGACAUGAUUAUGCAUGAAUAUCAUUAAUCAUUAGUUUGUAGCAAUUUCUCUUUAUUCCAAUAUUAUAAUAAUCCUCGCUCUGUAAUCAUAACCUAGAAAAAAUCAGGCCAUACAGAGAUAGGAGCUGAGGGGACACAGUGAGAAGUGACCAGAAGACAAGAGUGCGAGCCUUCUGUUAUGCCCGGACAGGGCCACCAGAGGGCUCCUUGGUCUAGCGGUAACGCCAGCGUCUGGGAAGUCUGGUCUAGCGGUAGCCUAGACAUCAGUCAGGCCCACUCGCAGUUAUCCGGAGGCCUAACCGUCUCCCUGUGAUGCUGUGCUUCAGUGGUCACGCUCCUAGUCCGCCUUCAUGUUCCAUCCUGUAUACCUGGCUCUGCCUUUUCGAUAACAGUAGCAAAAUUAGUGAAAGUACUAAAAGUCUCUGAUAUGCAGAAAUAAUGGCGUAAGCUGUCUCUCUCUCUCUCCACCUUGGCUGCCAGGCAGGGAAGGGCCCCCUGUCCAGUGGACACAUGACCCACGUGACCUUACCUAUCAAUGGAGAUGACUCACACUCUUUACCCUGCCCCCUUUUGCUUUGUAUCAAACAAAUAACAGUGCAGCCAGACAUUUGGGGCCGCUAGCGGCCUCCGCCUCUUGGUGGUAGUGGUCCCCUAGGCCCAGCUGUCUUUUCUUUUAUCUCUUUGUCUUGUGUCUUUAUUUCUGCAAUCUCUCAUCUCCGCACACGGGGAGAAAAACCCACCGACCCUGUGGGGCUGGACCCUACAUUAAGCCUAUUACCCAUUAGUUGCUUAUCCUGAGCCUUUCCCACCCCUUAGCCUCCACGCUCCGAUAGGCCCCAGUGUGUGUUGUUCCCUUCUAAGUGUACAUGUGUUCUCAUGAUUUAGCUCCCAUAUAUGAGUGAGAACCUGCGAUAUUUGGUAUUCUGCUUCUGUGUUAGUUUGCUAAGGAUAAUGGCCUCCAGGUCCAUCCAUGAUGCUGCAAAGGACAUGAUCUCAUUCUUUCUUAUGGAUGCAUAGUAUUCCAUGGUGUAUAUGUAUUUUAAAAAACCCAAUCUAUCAUUCACUGGCAUUUAGAUUGAUUCCAUGUCUUUUCAAAUGUGAAUAUUGCUGCAAUGAACAUAUCCAUGCUUGUGUCUUUAUAAUAGAAGGAUUUAUAUUCCUUUGGGUAUAUACCUAGUAAUGGGAUUGUUGGGCCAAAUGGUAUUUCUGUCUUUAGAUCUUUGAGGAAUCACCACAGUGUCUUCCGCAAUGACUGAACUAAUUUGCACUCCCACCAACAGUGUAAAAGUGCUCAUUUUUCUCCACAACCUUGCCAGCAUCUGUUAUUUUUUGACUUUUUAAUUAUGGCCAUUUUGACUGGUGUGAGAGGAUAAUCUCAUUGUGGGUUUCAUUUACAUUUCUCUAAUUAGUGAUGUUAAUUUUUUUUUCAUAUGAUUGUUGGCUGCAUGUAUGUUUUCUUUUGAAAACUUCUGUUCAAAAGGACAUACAAGUUUUUCGAGAAAUGAGUUGUGACCUUGAUUCACACAAGUCUGUAUUUCCAGGAGCAAUAUUGGGCAGAAAUUCAAGCUCUUGUGUGAGUCUUCCUUUGAU